CCGCACAGUAAACUAUGUACACUAGGCGUUGGAGCAAGAGCUUCAGUGCCGCCGCAAACGCAUUAAGUGUACCGCCUGGGAAGUAUGCCCGCAAGGGUGAAACUCAAAGGAAUUGACGGGGGCCCACACAAGCGGUGGAGCAUGUGGUUUAAUUCGAUGAUACGCGAGGAACCUUACCUGGGUUUGACAUCAAGAGUAAUGGCACAGAGAUGUGUCAGCGUAGCAAUACGACUCUUGACAGGUGCUGCAUGGCUGU
rnacentral:rRNA from 1 species